rnacentral:rRNA from 1 species
GACGAACGCUGGCGGCAUGCCUAACACAUGCAAGUCGAACGAACCCUUCGGGGUGAGUGGCGCACGGGUGCGUAACACGUGGGAACCUGCCCUUAGGUUCGGAAUAACACAGAGAAAUUUGUGCUAAUACCGGAUAAUGUCUUCGGACCAAAGAUUUAUCGCCUUUGGAUGGGCCCGCGUAGGAUUAGCUAGUUGGUGAGGUAAAGGCUCACCAAGGCGACGAUCCUUAGCUGGUCUUAGAGGAUGAUCAGCCACACUGGGACUGAGACACGGCCCAGACUCCUACGGGAGGCAGCAGUGGGGAAUAUUGGACAAUGGGCGAAAGCCUGAUCCAGCAAUGCCGCGUGAGUGAUGAAGGCCUUAGGGUUGUAAAGCUCUUUUACCUGGGAUGAUAAUGACAGUACCAGGAGAAUAAGCCCCGGCUAACUCCGUGCCAGCCGCCGCCGUAAAAC